GAUGAACGCUAGCGGGAGGCCUAACACAUGCAAGCCGAGCGGUAUUGUUUCUUCGGAAAUGAGAGAGCGGCGUACGGGUGCGUAACACGUGUGCAACCUGCCUUUAUCUGGGGGAUAGCCUUUCGAAAGGAAGAUUAAUACUCCAUAAUAUAUUGAACGGCAUCGUUUAAUAUUGAAAGCUCCGGCGGAUAGAGAUGGGCACGCGCAAGAUUAGCUAGUUGGUGAGGUAACGGCUCACCAAGGCGAUGAUCUUUAGGGGGCCUGAGAGGGUGAUCCCCUACACUGGUACUGAGACACGGACCAGACUCCUACGGGAGGCAGCAGUGAGGAAUAUUGGUCAAUGGGUGCAAGCCUGAACCAGCCAUCCCGCGUGAAGGACGACUGCCCUAUGGGUUGUAAACUUCUUUUGUAUAGGGAUAAACCUACCCUCGAGAGGGUAGCUGAAGGUACUAUACGAAUAAGCACCGGCUAACUCCGUG
rnacentral:rRNA from 1 species